CCUACGGGAGGCAGCAGUAGGGAAUCUUCCGCAAUGGACGAAAGUCUGACGGAGCAACGCCGCGUGAACGAUGAAGGCCUUCGGGUCGUAAAGUUCUAUUGUUAGGGAAGAACAAGUGCUAGUUGAAUAAGCUGGCACCUUGACGGUACCUAACCAGAAAGCCACGGCUAACUACGUGCCAGCAGCCGCGGUAAUACGUAGGUGGCAAGCGUUGUCCGGAAUUAUUGGGCGUAAAGCGCGCGCAGGCGGUUUCUUAAGUCUGAUGUGAAAGCCCCCGGCUCAACCGGGGAGGGUCAUUGGAAACUGGGAAACUUGAGUGCAGAAGAGGAAAGUGGAAUUCCAAGUGUAGCGGUGAAAUGCGUAGAGAUUUGGAGGAACACCAGUGGCGAAGGCGACUUUCUGGUCUGUAACUGACGCUGAGGCGCGAAAGCGUGGGGAGCAAACAGGAUUAGAUACCCUGGUAGUCCACGCUGUAAACGAUGAGUGCUAAGUGUUAGAGGGUUUCCGCCCUUUAGUGCUGAAGUUAACGCAUUAAGCACUCCGCCUGGGGAGUACGGUCGCAAGACGNGUAACGUAAAGUAAAGUUAGUUAGCGUUGAGAGNGCGACGGACGACACGAGGGAGGAGG
rnacentral:rRNA from 1 species